AAACUACAAAUAGAAUUGACGGGGACCCGCACAAGCGGUGGAUGAUGUGGUUUAAUUCGAUGCAACGCGAAAAACCUUACCCACCUUUGACAUGGCAGGAAUCCCGAAGAGAUUUGGGAGUGCUCGAAAGAGAACCUGCACACAGGUGCUGCAUGGCUGUCGUCAGCUCGUGUCGUGAGAUGUUGGGUUAAGUCCCGCAACGAGCGCAACCCUUGCCAUUAGUUGCUACGAAAGGGCACUCUAAUGGGACUGCCGGUGACAAACCGGAGGAAGGUGGGGAUGACGUCAAGUCCUCAUGGCCCUUAUAGGUGGGGCUACACACGUCAUACAAUGGCCGGUACAGAGGGUAGCCAACCCGCGAGGGGGAGCCAAUCCCACAAAGCCGGUCGUAGUCCGGAUCGCAGUCUGCAACUCGACUGCGUGAAGUCGGAAUCGCUAGUAAUCGCGGAUCAGCAUGUCGCGGUGAAUACGUUCCCGGGUCUU
rnacentral:rRNA from 1 species